GUUCACUGAGGAGCCUUUCCUGUGUUUACCCUGCUCGUGCACCUUCCAGAGAAGAUACCUUAACAUAAAGGAAAAUGUCUUUGAGUGAUUUGUUCUACCCUGGAAAUCCUGAAAAAAGGGAGAAGAUUAUCCGCAGAAGUCAAGAGCUUAUUGAGCUGAUGAAAAGCAACUUCGAAGCCACCAACAGUCUCACUGAGAGGGUCAAUAAGCACUUGCACUCAUCCUUCAGCCCGAUCACCCUGGACGAGAAAGCCACUGUCCAAGCAGAACUGUGAUGUGUAUGAUUGAACGUGUGAAUCAGAUCCUAGCAAAAGUCAAGGAGGUUGACGAGGAGCUGAAGAAGAAGCUGGAACCUACCUUGUAUGAGAGUCUACAACAUAUGUCUCUCCAAAGCUUCAACAAUAUUCCAGCUGCUGAUAAAACUGCUAUUAAAUCAGUUUGCCAGUUUCCAGCUGCAGUUUUAGUGAAGUGUCUAAUGAAAAAUAUGAGAAGUCUGACAGGCAUAAUAUUCAUAUUUGCUUGCAUUUCAACUGGGGUAGUUGGCUCCAUUUUGAUGGGGUUGGUGGUUGGGUUUGUUAUAACUGAUGUGGUUGUUUCAGGCAUUUUAGGGUAUAUUGAGAAAGGUAAACUCGAGACGGCCCUGGCAGAGUACGAGGAGGCUUUGGCAGAAUUCAGGCCAGCAUCUAAAAAAUAUGACAUGGCCAUAUACGAAGUCAUGUUUUUGCUUAAAUACAUGAAGGAGUGAAUUCUCUUUCACAUUAACAUCUGACCUUAAACUUUAGCAAGUCAUAGGUUGCUGUUUUAUUUAUAUUAAUCUUCCCAGUUACAGAAUACUCAUUUCUUUCAGUCUGACAGAAAUAUUUGCUGUAAUUGAAAAUUCCAUGUAAAUAACUUUGAUUUAUACAUUACCCUAAAAGCAUGCAGAAAUACAUGGGAUGAAGAUGGAUGGCAUUAUUUGACUUGUGAAAUGGAGGAAAAAUCCUCAGAAUCAGUUGGAAAUAAAUCACAAGUCCCACGAUUUCAAACA